UGGGGAAUUUUGGACAAUGGGCGAAAGCCUGAUCCAGCAAUGCCGCGUGCAGGAAGAAGGCCUUCGGGUUGUAAACUGCUUUUGUACGGAACGAAAAGGCUCUUUCUAGUAAAGAGGGCCCAUGACGGUACCGUAAGAAUAAGCACCGGCUAACUACGUGCCAGCAGCCGCGGUAAUACGUAGGGUGCGAGCGUUAAUCGGAAUUACUGGGCGUAAAGCGUGCGCAGGCGGUUCUAUAAGACAGAUGUGAAAUCCCCGGGCUCAACCUGGGAAUGGCAUUUGUGACUGUAGAGCUAGAGUACGGUAGAGGGGGAUGGAAUUCCGCGUGUAGCAGUGAAAUGCGUAGAUAUGCGGAGGAACACCGAUGGCGAAGGCAAUCCCCUGGACCUGUACUGACGCUCAUGCACGAAAGCGUGGGGAGCAAACAGGAUUAGAUACCCACGUAGUCCCUGAGCGGGCUGGCAAGGCGCAU
rnacentral:rRNA from 1 species